GUGCCAGCCGCCGCGGUAAUACCGGCAGCCCGAGUGAUGGCCAAUCUUAUUGGGCCUAAAGCGUCCGUAGCUGGCUGCGCAAGUCCGUCGGGAAAUCCACGAGCUCAACGCGUGGGCGUCCAGCGAAAACUGUCUGGCUUGGGGCCGGAAGACUCGAGGGGUACGUCCGGGGUAGGAGUGAAAUCCCGUAAUCCUGGACGGACCGCCGAUGGCGAAAGCACCUCGAGAGGACGGACCCGACGGUGAGGGACGAAAGCCAGGGUCUCGAACCGGAUUAGAUACCCUUGUAGUCC
rnacentral:rRNA from 1 species